AGUUCGAUCCUGGCUCAGGAUGAACGCUGGCGGCAUGCCUAAUACAUGCAAGUCGAACGGAGUGAAGCCUUCGGGUUUCAUUCAGUGGCGAACGGGUGAGUAAUACGCAGGGAACCUGGCCAUGGCAGGGGGAUACACUCUGGAAACGGAGCAUAAGACCCCAUAGGCAGUAAGGCGGCAUCGCCUUGCUGUUAAAGAAAGCUGAAAGGCUUUGGCGAUGGAUGGACCUGCGGUGCAUUAGCUUGUUGGUGAGGCAACGGCUUACCAAGGCGAUGAUGCAUAGCCGGCCUGAGAGGGCGGACGGCCACACUGGGACUGAGACACGGCCCAGACUCCUGCGGGAGGCAGCAGUAGGGAAUUUUCGUCAAUGGGCGCAAGCCUGAACGAGCAAUGCCGCGUGAGUGAGGAAGGUCUUCGGACUGUAAAGCUCUGUUGCCGGGGAAAAAGGGGAAAUGCAGGAAAUGGCAUUUCAUGGAUGGUACCCGGCCAGAAAGCCACGGCUAACUACGUGCCAGCAGCCGCGGUAAUACGUAGGUGGCGAGCGUUAUCCGGAAUGAUUGGGCGUAAAGGGUGCGCAGGCGGUCUGUUAAGUCUGAAGGCAAAGGGAUGAGCUCAACUCAUUUAUGAUUCAGAAACUGGCAGACUUGAGGACAGGAGAGGGCGGUGGAACUCCAUGUGUAGCGGUAAAAUGCGCAGAGAUAUGGAAGAACACCAGUGGCGAAGGCGGCCGCCUGGCCUGUGACUGACGCUGAGGCACGAAAGCGUGGGGAGCAAAUAGGAUUAGAUACCCUAGUAGUCCACGCCGUAAACGAUGAGGAGCAGGUGUUGGGAGUGAAAUCUCAGUGCCGAAGCCAACGCAGUGACUCCUCCGCCUGGGGAGUAUGCACGCAAGUGUGAAACUCAAAGGAAUUGACGGGGGCCCGCACAAGCGGUGGAGUAUGUGGUUUAAUUCGAAGCAACGCGAAGAACCUUACCAGGUUUUGACAUCGGAUGCGAAGGCGCAGAGAUGCGCUGGAGGCUAUCAUCCAGACAGGUGGUGCAUGGUUGUCGUCAGCUCGUGUCGUGAGAUGUUCAGUUAAGUCUGGCAACGAGCGCAACCCCCGUGGUAUGUUACUAACGCAUUUGGGCGAGGACUCAUAUCAGACUGCCGGUGACAAACCGGAGGAAGGCGGGGAUGACGUCAAAUCAUCAUGCCCCUUAUGGCCUGGGCUACACACGUACUACAAUGGCGUCUACAGAGGGAAGCGACCCUGAGAAGGGAAGCGAAACCGGAAAAGGGCGUCCCAGUUCGGAUUGAAGUCUGCAACCCGACUUCAUGAAGAUGGAAUCGCUAGUAAUCGCGGAUCAGCAUGCCGCGGUGAAUACGUUCCCGGGCCUUGUACACACCGCCCGUCAAACCAUGGAAGCCGGCAACGCCCGAAGCCGGUGGCAUAACCUUUUAGGAGUGAGCCGUCGAAGGCGGGGCCGAUGACUGGGGUUAAGUCGUAACAAGGUACCC
rnacentral:rRNA from 1 species